GACGAACGCUGGCGGCGUGCCUAAUACAUGCAAGUCGAGCGGAUGACGGAGGAGCUUGCUCCUCCUGAUUCAGCGGCGGACGGGUGAGUAACACGUGGGCAACCUGCCCUGUAGAUUGGGAUAACUCCGGGAAACCGGGGCUAAUACCGAAUAAUCCUUCGGACCUCAUGGUCCGAUGUUGAAAGACGGCAUCUCGCUGUCACUACAGGAUGGGCCCGCGGCGCAUUAGCUAGUUGGUGAGGUAACGGCUCACCAAGGCCACGAUGCGUAGCCGACCUGAGAGGGUGAUCGGCCACACUGGGACUGAGACACGGCCCAGACUCCUACGGGAGGCAGCAGUAGGGAAUCUUCCACAAUGGACGAAAGUCUGAUGGAGCAACGCCGCGUGAGUGAAGAAGGUUCUCGGAUCUUAAAACUCUGUUGUGAGGGAAGAACAAGUACCGGAGUAACUGCCGGUGCCUUGACGGUACCUCAUUAGAAAGCCACGGCUAACUACGUGCCAGCAGCCGCAGUAACAC
rnacentral:rRNA from 1 species